AACGAACGCUGGCGGCGUGGAUAAGACAUGCAAGUCGAACGAAGAAUCGCACUAGCUUGCUAGAGCACUAUAUUCUUAGUGGCGGACGGGUGAGUAACACGUGAGUCACCUGCCCUGAAGCGGGGGAUAGCCCACCGAAAGGUGGAUUAAUACCGCAUGUGGCCGCAAGGCUAAAGGUGCCCUCGGGUGCCGCUUCAGGAUGGGCUCGCGGCCUAUCAGCUUGUUGGUGAGGUAAUGGCUCACCAAGGCAACGACGGGUAGCUGGUCUGAGAGGACGACCAGUCACACUGGAACUGAGACACGGUCCAGACACCUACGGGUGGCAGCAGUCGAGAAUCAUUCGCAAUGGACGAAAGUCUGACGGUGCGACGCCGCGUGGAGGACAUGAAGGCCUUAGGGUCGUAAACUCCUGUCAUCAGUGAGUAAGGCACAGGUGCUAAUACCAUCUGUGAUUGAUAGUAGCUGAAGAGGAAGAGACGGCUAACUCUG
rnacentral:rRNA from 1 species